UACGAAGGGUGCAAACGUUGCUCGGAAUCAUUGGGCGUAAAGCGCACGUAGGCGGCUUCGCAAGUCGGAUGUGAAAUCCCUCGGCUCAACCGAGGACGUGCAUCCGAAACUGCGAAGCUUGAGUACUGAAGAGGAUCGCGGAAUUCCCGGUGUAGAGGUGAAAUUCGUAGAUAUCGGGAGGAACACCGGUGGCGAAGGCGGCUCACUGGUCCAUUACUGACGCUGAGGUGCGAAAGCGUGGGGAGCAAACAGG
rnacentral:rRNA from 1 species